AAGGAGUCUAACAUCUAUGUGAGUGUUUGGGUGACAAGCCCGAGCGCGUAAUGAAAGUGAACGGAGGUGGGAACCCCUCGGGGCGCACCAUCGACCGAUCCUGAUGUCUUCGGAUGGAUUUGAGUAAGAGCAUAGCUGUUGGGACCCGAAAGAUGGUGAACUAUGCUUGAAUAGGGUGAAGCCAGAGGAAACUCUGGUGGAGGCUCGCAGCGGCUCUGACGUGCAAAUCGAUCGUCAAAUUUGGGCAUAGGGGCGAAAGACUAAUCGAACUAUCUAGUAGCUAGUUCCUGC
rnacentral:misc_RNA from 1 species